rnacentral:rRNA from 1 species
CCUACGGGCGGCUGCAGUGGGGAAUAUUGCACAAUGGGCGCAAGCCUGAUGCAGCCAUGCCGCGUGUGUGAAGAAGGCCUUCGAGUUGUAAAGCACUUUCAGCGGGGAGGAAGGCGUUAAGGUUAAUAACCUUGGCGAUUGACGUUACCCGCAGAAGAAGCACCGGCUAACUCCGUGCCAGCAGCCGCGGUAAUACGGAGGGUGCAAGCGUUAAUCGGAAUUACUGGGCGUAAAGCGCACGCAGGCGGUCUGUCAAGUCGGAUGUGAAAUCCCCGGGCUCAACCUGGGAACUGCAUUCGAAACUGGCAGGCUAGAGUCUUGUAGAGGGGGGUAGAAUUCCAGGUGUAGCGGUGAAAUGCGUAGAGAUCUGGAGGAAUACCGGUGGCGAAGGCGGCCCCCUGGACAAAGACUGACGCUCAGGUGCGAAAGCGUGGGGAGCAAACAGGAUUAGAUACCCGAGUAGUC